GCUACUGCUCCGAAAACAAAAAAGAUCAGUCACGAAAAUCAAACAGUAUAACUAAAAAUCUUUAGGCAAAUAUGCAGGCAACAAUGUGCAUACCGCAUAUCAAAUAAAGAGGGGCAAAUUCCGUAGCAAGAACCAAAAAAAUGGCAAAAAGAAAGGCCUCAGAGAUCUUGGUGGAUAGGAAUCAUCAGGUAGGAUUCAUAAAGAAUCCAAUCAAGAGUAGCAAAUAUAAAAUCACAUCACCGGCCUUUCCUUUUUUCUUUUCAGAAUUUCGAAAUUAAGAUUAAUGAGCCUAAUACACCGGAAUUGAUCGUUCAAGCUCAGGUUUUUAACUGGACGAGGCCCCAUUCCGUUAUUUGAAUUAAAGAUGAUAUAUUGUGAGAAAAUGAACUGUCUCGUCUUAUAAAACGAGAAAUAAACACUUUAAAAAAAAAAAAGAAGUAAACGGGGCAUUCAUUUAUGAACCCUAUCCAAACCACUAAUACUAACUUUAAUACCAAAAACUAUAUACCAGAAAACAAAAAUAUUGAUAUUGGAUUGGGGGAAGAGCACAGGAUGAUGAAGUCAGAAGUAGCUGGUUGUGUAAUCAUCUCUUCAAGAAAGAAAGAGAAAUCAUUGGGAAUCCGUCUGAUUUAUUUCAUCAUCCAAACAUCAUCACGGCCUCCCCCAAAGUGCAUUUUCAGAAAUACUACUACUAUAAAACAAAAUCCAAAAUACAAAAACCUAGUAAUUGCAAACUACUACUGUAAUAACGAUGGAUGUAGAGAAGUGUAUCUACCUUGUCACCGAUAAAUCCUAUUAAGAUUAGAAUAAUCGGAGCUAAAGGGAGAGGUAUAUACACGAAGAUGUCUGUAUAUACGUGUUGUUCAAUGUAGCCUGACGAUAGAUCCCUUGAUCCACCGUACUGUUAUUGGAAUCCAAUCAAGGAAUUUGCAAUAUCAGGCGUACAACAAACAUCCAAAAGAACCCUAGCUAAUGUAUCGACUCUACUUAUCAAACCCUAGCUCCUCCCUCGUGUUUUCUGAAACC